CAGGAUGAACGCUGGCGGCGUGCCUAAUACAUGCAAGUCGAACGCACAGCGAAAGGGGCUUGCACCUUUCAAGUGAGUGGCGAACGGGUGAGUAACACGUGGAUAACCUACCUCAAGGUUGGGGAUAACAUUUGGAAACAGAUGCUAAUACCGAAUAAAACUUCGUAUCGCAUGAUACAAGGUUAAAAGGCGCUACGGCGUCACCUAGAGAUGGAUCCGCGGUGCAUUAGUUAGUUGGUGGGGUAAAGGCCUACCAAGACAAUGAUGCAUAGCCGAGUUGAGAGACUGAUCGGCCACAUUGGGACUGAGACACGGCCCAAACUCCUACGGGAGGCUGCAGUAGGGAAUCUUCCACAAUGGGCGAAAGCCUGAUGGAGCAACGCCGCGUGUGUGAUGAAGGCUUUCGGGUCGUAAAGCACUGUUGUAUGGGAAGAACAGCUAGAGUAGGGAAUGACUUUAGUUUGACGGUACCAUACCAGAAAGGGACGGCUAAAUACGUGCCAGCAGCCGCGGUAAUACGUAUGUCCCGAGCGUUAUCCGGAUUUAUUGGGCGUAAAGCGAGCGCAGACGGUUGAUUAAGUCUGAUGUGAAAGCCCGGAGCUCAACUCCGGAAAGGCAUUGGAAACUGGUCAACUUGAGUGCAGUAGAGGUAAGUGGAACUCCAUGUGUAGCGGUGGAAUGCGUAGAUAUAUGGAAGAACACCAGCGGCGAAGGCGGCUUACUGGACUGUAACUGACGUUGAGGCUCGAAAGUGUGGGUAGCAAACAGGAUUAGAUACCCUGGUAGUCCACACCGUAAGCGAUGAACACUAGGUGUUAGGAGGUUUCCGCCUCUUAGUGCCGAAGCUAACGCAUUAAGUGUUCCGCCUGGGGAGUACGACCGCAAGGUUGAAACUCAAAGGAAUUGACGGGGACCCGCACAAGCGGUGGAGCAUGUGGUUUAAUUCGAAGCAACGCGAAGAACCUUACCAGGUCUUGACAUCCUUUGAAGCUUUUAGAGAUAGAAGUGUUCUCUUCGGAGACAAAGUGACAGGUGGUGCAUGGUCGUCGUCAGCUCGUGUCGUGAGAUGUUGGGUUAAGUCCCGCAACGAGCGCAACCCUUAUUGUUAGUUGCCAGCAUUCAGAUAGGCACUCUAGCGAGACUGCCGGUGACAAACCGGAGGAAGGCGGGGACGACGUCAGAUCAUCAUGCCCCUUAUGACCUGGGCUACACACGUGCUACAAUGGCGUAUACAACGAGUUGCCAACCUGUGAAGGUGAGCUAAUCUCUUAAAGUACGUCUCAGUUCGGACUGCAGUCUGCAACUCGACUGCACGAAGUCGGAAUCGCUAGUAAUCGCGGAUCAGCACGCCGCGGUGAAUACGUUCCCGGGUCUUGUACACACCGCCCGUCA
rnacentral:rRNA from 1 species